CCUACGGGAGGCAGCAGUGGGGAAUAUUGCACAAUGGGCGAAAGCCUGAUGCAGCGACGCCGCGUGAGGGAUGACGGCCUUCGGGUUGUAAACCUCUUUCAGUAGGGAAGAAGCGAAAGUGACGGUACCUGCAGAAGAAGCACCGGCUAACUACGUGCCAGCAGCCGCGGUAAUACGUAGGGUGCGAGCGUUAUCCGGAAUUAUUGGGCGUAAAGAGCUCGUAGGCGGUUUGUCGCGUCUGUCGUGAAAGUCCGGGGCUUAACCCCGGAUCUGCGGUGGGUACGGGCAGACUAGAGUGCAGUAGGGGAGACUGGAAUUCCUGGUGUAGCGGUGGAAUGCGCAGAUAUCAGGAGGAACACCGAUGGCGAAGGCAGGUCUCUGGGCUGUAACUGACGCUGAGGAGCGAAAGCAUGGGGAGCGAACAGGAUUAGAUACCCUGGUAGUCCAUGCCGUAAACGUUGGGCACUAGGUGUGGGGAACAUUCC
rnacentral:rRNA from 1 species